rnacentral:rRNA from 1 species
UUGACCUCGGAUCAGGUAGGGAUACCCGCUGAACUUAAGCAUAUCAAUAAGCGGAGGAAAAGAAACCAACAGGGAUUGCCUCAGUAACGGCGAGUGAAGCGGCAAGAGCUCAAAUUUGAAAUCUGGCCCCCUCGGGGUCCGAGUUGUAAUUUGUAGAGGAUGCUUCGGGUGCGGCCGCGGUCUAAGUCCCCUGGAACGGGGCGUCGUAGAGGGUGAGAAUCCCGUCUUUGACCGGCCGGUCACGCCCGUGUGAAGCUCCUUCGACGAGUCGAGUUGUUUGGGAAUGCAGCUCUAAAUGGGUGGUAAAUUUCAUCUAAAGCUAAAUACUGGUCGGAGACCGAUAGCGCACAAGUAGAGUGAUCGAAAGAUGAAAAGCACUUUGAAAAGAGAGUUAAACAGCAUGUGAAAUUGUUGAAAGGGAAGCGCUUGCGAUCAGAGUCGUCUGCGGGGGCUCAGCGGGCAUUCUUUGCCCGUGCACUCCCCCGCGGUCGGGCCAGCGUCGGUUUUGACGGCCGGUCAAAGGCCCCCGGAAUGUGUCGCCUCUCGGGGCGUCUUAUAGCCGGGGGUGCAAUGCGGCCUGUCGGGACCGAGGAACGCGCUCCGGCACGGACGCUGGCUUAAUGGUCGUAAGCGACC